rnacentral:tmRNA from 1 species
GGGGGCGAAAAGGGUUCGACGGGGAUCGUUGACGUCAGGGCUGCAUACCGAGGUCCCAUUGGCUCGUAAAACAAAUGGGGUUUAAACAUAAUCGCAGCCAACUACGAUUAUGCCCUGGCUGCCUAAGAGCGGCCAGCGUCUCACCCGUUCUCUCCUGUAGGGCGGGAUGCCUGCCCGCUGGCAGGCGGGGGAUGUCAGAAAAACAGGAUAGUCCCUCUCCGAUUCCUAUAGGAAAGGGACGAAACCUCAUAGGAUAGUCCUCCCGAAAUCCUGCCUGUGGGAGUUCGGAGGGGCGAAUUCAAAAUACAGGCUAUGUAUGUAGAAGCUCUGUCGGAAGGUUCUCGGACGCGGGUUCGAUUCCCGCCGCCUCCACCA